ACCAUUGGAAUGGCUCAGUCGGUAGAGCAUGAGGAUCUUAAUCUCAGGUUCGUGGGUUCGAGGCCCACUUUGGGCA